UGAACGCGAAGAACCUUACCUGGUCUUGACAUCCACAGAACUAUCCAGAGAUGGAUUGGUGCCUUCGGGAACUGUGAGACAGGUGCUGCAUGGCAGAAGUCAGCUCGUGUUGUGAAAUGUUGGGUUAAGUCCCGCAACGAGCGCAACCCUUAUCCUUUGUUGCCAGCGGUCCGGCCGGGAACUCAAAGGAGACUGCCAGUGAUAAACUGGAGGAAGGUGGGGAUGACGUCAAGUCAUCAUGGCCCUUACGACCAGGGCUACACACGUGCUACAAUGGCGCAUACAAAGAGAAGCGACCUCGCGAGAGCAAGCGGACCUCAUAAAGUGCGUCGUAGUCCGGAUUGUAUUCUGCAACUCGACUCCAUGAAGUCGGAAUCGCUAGUAAUCGUGGAUCAGAAUGCCACGGUGAAUACGUUCCCGGGUCUUGUACACACGCA
rnacentral:rRNA from 1 species